GUCGAACGAACUCUGGUAUUGAUUGGUGCUUGCAUCAUGAUUUACAUUUGAGUGAGUGGCGAACUGGUGAGUAACACGUGGGAAACCUGCCCAGAAGCGGGGGAUAACACCUGGAAACAGAUGCUAAUACCGCAUAACAACUUGGACCGCAUGGUCCGAGUUUGAAAGAUGGCUUCGGCUAUCACUUUUGGAUGGUCCCGCGGCGUAUUAGCUAGAUGGUGGGGUAACGGCUCACCAUGGCAAUGAUACGUAGCCGACCUGAGAGGGUAAUCGGCCACAUUGGGACUGAGACACGGCCCAAACUCCUACGGGAGGCAGCAGUAGGGAAUCUUCCACAAUGGACGAAAGUCUGAUGGAGCAACGCCGCGUGAGUGAAGAAGGGUUUCGGCUCGUAAAACUCUGUUGUUAAAGAAGAACAUAUCUGAGAGUAACUGUUCAGGUAUUGACGGUAUUUAACCAGAAAGCCACGGCUAACUACGUGCCAGCAGCCGCGGUAAUACGUAGGUGGCAAGCGUUGUCCGGAUUUAUUGGGCGUAAAGCGAGCGCAGGCGGUUUUUUAAGUCUGAUGUGAAAGCCUUCGGCUCAACCGAAGAAGUGCAUCGGAAACUGGGAAACUUGAGUG
rnacentral:rRNA from 2 species